UCCUCUGUAGUUCAGUCGGUAGAACGGCGGACUGUUAAUCCGUAUGUCACUGGUUCGAGUCCAUCCGUAUGUCACUGGUUCGAGUCCAGUCAGAGGAGCCA
rnacentral:tRNA from 1 species